rnacentral:misc_RNA from 1 species
GAUGAAGAACGUAGCGAAAUUCGAUAAGUAAUGUGAAUUGCAGAAUUCAGUGAAUCAUCGAAUCUUUGAACGCACAUUGCGCCCGCCAGCAUUCUGGCGGGCAUGCCUGUUCGAGCGUCAUUUCAACCCUCGAGCCCCCCCGGGGGCCUCGGUGUUGGGGGACGGCACACCAGCCGCCCCCGAAAUGCAGUGGCGACCUCGCCGCAGCCUCCACUGCGUAGUAGCACACACCUCGCACCGAAGCGCGGAGACGGUCACGCCGUAAAACGCCCAACUUCUUAGAGUUGACCUCGGAUCAGGUAGGAAUACCCGCUGAACUUAAGCAUAUCAAUAAGCGGAGGA